rnacentral:rRNA from 1 species
UACGUAGGUGGCAAGCGUUGUCCGGAUUUACUGGGCGUAAAGAGCGCGCAGGCGGUCGUUCAAGUCGAGUGUGAAAGCCCCCCGGCUCAACUGGGGAGGGUCACUCGAUACUGAUCGACUCGAAGGCAGAAGAGGGAAGCGGAAUUCCCCGGUGUAGUGGUGAAAUGCGUAGAUAUCGGGAGGAACACCAGUGGCGAAGGCGGCUUUCUGGUCUGCUCUUGACGCUGAGGCGCGAAGCUAAGGGUAGCAAACGGG